rnacentral:misc_RNA from 1 species
GAUGAAGAACGCAGCGAAAUGCGAUACGUAAUGUGAAUUGCAGAAUUCAGUGAAUCAUCGAAUCUUUGAACGCAUAUUGCGCUCUUUGGUAUUCCGAAGAGCAUGCUUGUUUGAGUAUCAGUAAACACCUCAACCUCUUCUUGAUUUUUCAAAAGGAGGGUGGACUUGAGCUAUCCCAACAACCUUUACCGGUCGGUGGGCGGCUUGAAAUGCAGGUGCAGCUGGACUUUUAUCUGAGCUAAAAGCAUAUCUAUUUAGUCCUCGUCAAACAGGAUUAUUACUUUUGCUGCAGCUAACAUAAAGGAUAAUUGUCCUCUUUGCUGACUGAUGCAGGAUUUUACGACACUUUAUGUGUUGUUCAACUCGAUCUCAAAUCAAGUAAGACUACCCGCUGAACUUAAGCAUAUCAAUAAGCGGAGGA